GAUGAACGCUGGCGGCGUGCCUAAUACAUGCAAGUCGAGCGAACGGACGAGAAGCUUGCUUCUCUGAUGUUAGCGGCGGACGGGUGAGUAACACGUGGAUAACCUACCUAUAAGACUGGGAUAACUUCGGGAAACCGGAGCUAAUACCGGAUAAUAUUUCGAACCGCAUGGUUCAAAAGUGAAAGACGGUCUUGCUGUCACUUAUAGAUGGAUCCGCGCUGCAUUAGCUAGUUGGUAAGGUAACGGCUUACCAAGGCAACGAUGCAUAGCCGACCUGAGAGGGUGAUCGGCCACACUGGAACUGAGACACGGUCCAGACUCCUACGGGAGGCAGCAGUAGGGAAUCUUCCGCAAUGGGCGAAAGCCUGACGGAGCAACGCCGCGUGGGUGAUGAAGGUCUUCGGAUCGUAAAACUCUGUUAUUAGGGAAGAACAUAUGUGUAAGUAACUGUGCACAUCUUGACGGUACCUAAUCAGAAAGCCACGGCUAACUACGUG
rnacentral:rRNA from 1 species